GACGGACAUGCGCUCCGCGCGCUCGCUCAGUUUCUGGCUGGCUCUCGUAGAGAGCAGACGUGUGUUCUCCGCGCUCGCUCAGUUUCUGCCUGGAAGUUGCUGCGGGGGAAAAGAGCUAUUAUGGUGGCGCCAUCUGGUGUGAUGCCUUGCAACUAAGUGGCCACCUGUCGUCGAUCUCUGCAACUGCUGGGUGCAAACUACCAACAUGGCGGGCGCUGGUCACUCGGGUGUUGCGGAGCGGCUUCUUCGCCGCGGCAUCGUUGAUUUUCGAAUAAAUUGUUUCUCUCCA